rnacentral:lncRNA from 1 species
AGAAAAUGCACACAUAAAACAUCUCCGCCGUGCAAAAACUUACAACCACGGAUCUCUCGACGUACAACGCCCACAACAGACUUCAAAUUAGCAGUGGUCCUCCAGCUCGGCGCGGCCGCUGCUCCAGCCAUCGCCGCCGCUGCGCCCGACGUCGUCUCCUCCAGCCCGGCGCGGUCUCCUUCUUUCUUCGACUGGCAGCAACGGGUGUCGCUGCUAUCACCUUGGCGGACAACACAGCUGCUUCGCUGCCUCCACCCAUUUUCCAGAUCUGGCACCGCCGCCACCCCUGUUUCUCCGGCGAGGGCGUCGCCUGCCUUCUCUCCACACCGGCGCCAGAUGCUGG